CCUACGGGAGGCAGCAGUCGAGAAUCAUUCACAAUGGGGGAAACCCUGAUGGUGCGACGCCGCGUGGGGGAAUGAAGGUCUUCGGAUUGUAAACCCCUGUCAUGUGGGAGCAAAUUAAAAAGAUAGUACCACACGAGGAAGAGACGGCUAACUCUGUGCCAGCAGCCGCGGUAAUACCGAGGUCUCAAGCGUUGUGCGGAAUCACUGGGCGUAAAGCGUGCGUAGGCUGUUUCGUAAGUCGUGUGUGAAAGGCGCGGGCUCAACCCGCGGACGGCACAUGAUACUGCGAGACUAGAGUAAUGGAGGGGGGACCGGAAUUCUCGGUGUAGCAGUGAAAUGCGUAGAUAGCGGGAGGAACACUCGUGGCGAAGGCGGGUUCCUGGACAUUAACUGACGCUGAGGCACGAAGGCCAGGGGAGCGAAAGGGAUUAGAUACCCGAGUAGUC
rnacentral:rRNA from 1 species